AGUGAACGCUGGCGGUAGGCCUAACACAUGCAAGUCGAACGGCAGCACAGUAAGAGCUUGCUCUUACGGGUGGCGAGUGGCGGACGGGUGAGGAAUACAUCGGAAUCUACUUUUUCGUGGGGGAUAACGUAGGGAAACUUACGCUAAUACCGCAUACGACCUACGGGUGAAAGCAGGGGAUCUUCGGACCUUGCGCGAUUGAAUGAGCCGAUGUCGGAUUAGCUAGUUGGCGGGGUAAAGGCCCACCAAGGCGACGAUCCGUAGCUGGUCUGAGAGGAUGAUCAGCCACACUGGAACUGCGACACGGUCCAGACUCCUACGGGAGGCAGCAGUGGGGAAUAUUGGACAAUGGGCGCAAGCCUGACCCAGCCAUACCGCGUGGGUGAAGAAGGCCUUCGGGUUGUAAAGCCCUUUUGUUGGGAAAGAAAAGCAGCAGGUUAAUACCCCGCUGUUCUGACGGUACCCAAAGAAUAAGCACCGGCUAACUUCGUG
rnacentral:rRNA from 1 species